AUAGCCCAGGGAAACCUGGAUUAAUACCGGAUGAGACGGGACCCGCGAUGGCGGGACCGGGAAAGGCGCUGCGGCGCCGGCCGGGGGAUGAGUCUGCCGUCCCAUUAGCUAGACGGCGGGGUAACGGCCCACCGUGGCGACGAUGGGUAGCCGGCCUGAGAGGGUGGACGGCCACAUUGGAACUGAGACACGGUCCAGACUCCUACGGGAGGCAGCAGCUAAGAAUCUUCCGCAAGUGGGACGAAAGCCUGACGGAGCGACGCCCGCGUGAACGAAGAAGGCCGUGAGGUUAGUAAAGUUCUUUCGGGAGGGGGAACAACCGUGGCAGGGAAUGGCCGCGGGAUGACGUGAAUCCCGGAAUAAGCCCCGGCUAACUACGUGCCAGCCGCUGC
rnacentral:rRNA from 1 species